rnacentral:rRNA from 1 species
UACGAAGGGGGCUAGCGUUGCUCGGAAUUCCUGGGCGUAAAGGGCGCGUAGGCGGACAUUUAAGUCAGAGGUGAAAGCCCAGGGCUCAACCUUGGAAUUGCCUUUGAUACUGGAUGUCUUGAGUUCGGGAGAGGUGAGUGGAAUGCCGAGUGUAGAGGUGAAAUUCGUAGAUAUUCGGCGGAACACCAGUGGCGAAGGCGACUCACUGGCCCGAUACUGACGCUGAGGCGCGAAAGCGUGGGGAGCAAACAGG